rnacentral:rRNA from 1 species
AUUGAACGCUGGCGGCAGGCCUAACACAUGCAAGUCGAGCGGUUUGAGGGAGCUUGCUCCUGGUUUCAGCGGCGGACGGGUGCGUAAUUCCUAUGAAUCUGCCUGGUAGUGGGGGAUUACGUCCGGAUGCGGGCGCUGGUACCGCAUACGUGCUGAGGGAGAAAGUGGGGGAUCUUCGGACCUCACGCUAUCAGAUGAGCCUAGGUCUGAUUAGCUAGUUGGGGGGGUAAAGGCCUACCAAGGCGACGAUCCGUAACUGGUCUGAGAGGAGGAUCAGGCACAAUGGAACUGAGACACGGUCCAGACUCCUACGGGAGGGAGCAGUGGGGAAGAUUGGACAAUGGGCGAAAGCCUGAUCCAGCCAUGCCGCGUGUGUGAAGAAGGUCUUCGGAUUGUAAAGCACGUUAAGUUGGGAGGAAGGGCAGUAAGUUAAUACCUUGCUGUUUUGACGUUACCAACAGAAUAAGCACCGGCUAACUUCGUG